rnacentral:rRNA from 1 species
AUGAUGUUUCCACUCCAUUUUCAUUACGAAGAUGUAUUACGUCAGGGUCUGCUGCUCAAACUGAAUCACGCCAAUGUUAUGGAAGUUCCUGGAUUGUUUCAAAUAAGAUUAGUACCAAAAGCUGCCUCUGAUUUCAGAAUCCAAUUUGGAAAAUUGGCUAUGGAGAUUUUGUGCGGUCAGAGAUUCAUACAGACACAAAGGGGCCCCUAUUUUCAAGCAGGAAAGUCGUUUCGAUCCAAUCCAUUCUUGGGGUCCGAAAAAGACACUGGAUAUGUCAGUCACUUUGCACGACAAAGCGUUCUCCGAGGGCAUGGAAUGUACCAUUUUUUGGUCAGAAUCUUUACAGUAAUGUCUAUGUUGGAUUCUCCGGCCGAAAUAUGGGAAAACUCCAUCAAAUUCGUUAUGGAAACGGAGUUUUGCGAAUUCUCCCCGGAACUGGAAGAUCAUUUCGAGAUCUUCGAGCAUAUUUAA